GACCUUACGUUGGUUUUAUUGAGAUAUAUCACUCCCUUUAGAUUGGGGGGGGUAUCACUACUACCCCCUCGAAGACCGUUUUUUUAAGACUCCUAUCCGCCGGGGGGGGGUCGCCCGCGAUUCCCCCCUUAAGCGGGGUGUGAUUCUCCCGAAUGCGAGACAAACCCUAUUAAAAGGGAGGCAUCCCCCAAUAUCCGUCAAAACCUAUUUCCUUCCCCAACUCUAUCACCCCCCCCUUAAUAGAAACAGACCUCCCGCCCCCCCUCUAUAAAAAACCCGUUUUUUUUGAAGGGCGUAGCGCGCGCCCGCGCGCCCUCACACCGCCCGUCGCUACUACCGAUUGAAUGGCUCAGUGAGGCCUUGGGAUUGGCUUAGGAGGGUUGGCAACGACCCCCCAGAGCCGAAAACUUGGUCAAACUCGGUCAUUUAGAGGAAGUAAAAGUCGUAACAAGGUUUCCGUAGGUGAACCUGCGGAAGGAUCAUUACCGAGUGAGGGCCCUCUGGGUCCAACCUCCCACCCGUGUUUAUUUUACCUUGUUGCUUCGGCGGGCCCGCCUUAACUGGCCGCCGGGGGGCUUACGCCCCCGGGCCCGCGCCCGCCGAAGACACCCUCGAACUCUGUCUGAAGAUUGUAGUCUGAGUGAAAAUAUAAAUUAUUUAAAACUUUCAACAACGGAUCUCUUGGUUCCGGCAUCGAUGAAGAACGCAGCGAAAUGCGAUACGUAAUGUGAAUUGCAAAUUCAGUGAAUCAUCGAGUCUUUGAACGCACAUUGCGCCCCCUGGUAUUCCGGGGGGCAUGCCUGUCCGAGCGUCAUUUCUGCCCUCAAGCACGGCUUGUGUGUUGGGCCCCGUCCUCCGAUCCCGGGGGACGGGCCCGAAAGGCAGCGGCGGCACCGCGUCCGGUCCUCGAGCGUAUGGGGCUUUGUCACCCGCUCUGUAGGCCCGGCCGGCGCUUGCCGAUCAACCCAAAUUUAUCCAGGUGACCUCGGAUCAGGUAGGCUAUUGUUAUUU
rnacentral:rRNA from 1 species